UACGGGGGGGGCAAGCGUUGUUCGGAAUUACUGGGCGUAAAGGGCGCGUAGGCGGUUAGAUAAGUCAGCUGUGAAAACCACGAGCUUAACUCGUGGCCUGCAGUUGAGACUGUCUGGCUUGAGUGUGGGAGAGGAGAGUGGAAUUCCUGGUGUAGCGGUGAAAUGCGUAGAUAUCAGGAGGAACACCGGUGGCGAAGGCGGCUCUCUGGACCACAACUGACGCUGAGGCGCGAAAGCUAGGGGAGCAAACAGG
rnacentral:rRNA from 1 species